AGUAGAAUAGCUGGAUUAUAUGGUAGUAAUAUGUUUAACUUUUAAAUAAAUGGCCAAACUAUUUUCAAAAGUUAUUGUGCCAUUUACAUUCCCAGCAGCCAU
rnacentral:pre_miRNA from 1 species